UGCAGCAAAUGAAGAGAUAAGCAUCAGAUUCUGCAUAUACAUAAAUGUGAUCACAAACACAGCUUCAGAAGGGCUUAAGAGAAUGAUUUAAUUUUUUCUUUCCUUAGGUCUCUUUUUGUACAUGGGUGGAACCCCCUUUGUAUCUUUCUAAUUUACUCCCUCCGUCCCCUUUUGAUAAUCCCUUAUGAACAAAUUUUAGUCCCAAAAUGUUCACCCCAUUUGCUUUUUCCAACAACCAUUAAUAUUAAUUUUUUACCAAAAUUCCAUCCAAUUAAAAACAAUAGUUGUGCAAAUUUAAAUUUUCCAUGUAAAUUUUGCUUUCCCAUGUACUUUUAUUACUUUUUCUCUCUACUUUUUUGCAUACCCAAUGUCAAUUUACUUUUUCAAUGUAUUUUAACUAUUCUUGUUUGUGUUUAUUAAUUCUCGUGAAAAAUGCCCAUAAGGGACUAUCAAAAGGGGACGGAGGGAGUAUAUCUUUAUUUCUAAAUCAACAACCAAAAAAGUGUUACAUAAACUAUGAGAUAAGGCUCUUGUAGACUACUGCAGAAGCAAAUAAUUACGCCUACAUCUUGUUUUGAGAAUGAAAGCCUUGAAUUUUAUUGGAACCUUUAGCUCCCAAACAUUCAGUGAUUUUACGUUUUUUCAUAAGGACUUGAAAGCAAAAAUACAAAAUGUGACCUGAUGAUUGAGCAAGCCAAAUUCUUUGAUCAAGAUGACCAAAGAAAACAUAAAAUCUUCGAAUCUUUAUAGGCAAGACACAUCACCCAAUUUCCUUACGUAUAAAUUUUCAUAGAAAAUGAAGAAUCCAAAACAAAUGUAGACCUGUAAAGAUCAGUUACAGAUAAAUUUUUCCAGGACAGUAGGCAGCAAAUUUCAACAAGUGCAUGGACAUUCUUGGACACCACAUUCCCUACGAAUAAACUCAAACCUCCCAACCCUUUUUCCCUUGACCAAUUGAUUAGAUCUCAAAUUACAAGAUGAUCCCUUUUCUUAAGUGUUAGAAUCCACCUGAUCUACCUUAUGCAUACUAAGGCCAAAGGGGGACCUUCCACCGAAGUCAUUUGGGGCCCGGCCUCUGGUACAUUAUUGCAAUUAAUUAGCUAUUGAACUUAAUGAUGUUCUUUUAUUUAUAAAAAUUUGGAAUAUAGUGAUUAGUUUUGAGCAACUGGUAAAAUAUUCAUUCCCGGUCCCUAGGGGUGAAAGUAGUUUGGAUAAAAACCGAAAACCGAUCCAAACCAAACCGAACUAGAAAUUCGGUUCGGUUUUUUCAGUUUUCGGUUUGGAUUCGGUUCCAAAAUCCUGAAACCGAAUUAUUUCGGUUUGGAUUCGGUUCUGGGUCCUAAAAAACCGAAAACCGAAAUCCAAACCGAAAUGUUUAAAGCCCAUAUAGAUUCCAGCCCAAUUCCCCUACAUAUAUAUAGCAAACCCUAAUUUUCUCCUUCAUUUUUCUGACUUUCGGCCACCUUCACUCCUCAAUUCCUCUACUUCCUCACCAAAACCCUUCAUUUCCUUCACUCCGACCACUGUAUCUCACCACCGUAUCUCACUCCGGCCACCGUAUAUUGUCUCCUUGGUCGAAUAUCAGUUCCUUUCUUCAUAUCUGGUGUUCGUAGACUUCGUACUCCCUCAAUCCGCGACGCGCCACCACCUUCUGUCGCCACCACCUCUCUCAGUCACUCAAAGACUUGAAGAAUAUGAAAAUUACUGAUCCAAUCAACCCAAACUUGGUUGAGCUUGAUUGAAUGCAUGAAGAGUACGCUGCCAAGAAGAAGAAGCUAAUGCCAGAUUUGAAUCAAGCUGCUGCCAAUCUGCCAUACUGUCAUUUUAUGUUUAAGAUUACUGUUGUGUUUGACUGUCUGUAAUUUUUAUUUUGGCUGGACAAACUUAAGUGUUGUAAUUCGUGACAUUAAUUGUGGUGGUGGAAGCUUUGUCUAAAAAUUUAUGUUUUGUUCAGGAACAGGUACAAAAAUUAGGUCUUUAAAAGGCCCAAAA